UUGGAUUUGAGGACUGCAAACAAUCUAAGGAUUGCAAGCAAUCUAUCAUUCCUCCACAACUAUUUUAUGUUAAAAUUUUAUUUAAAAAUGAAAAAUAAUAACAGUAUCAAAUAAAAUUGAUACUUCCUCAUCUGAUCAAGUGUGAGUAAAUAGAUGUAAAAAGUACAAGUAUAGAAUUACUCUUUUAACAGUAAGAACUUGAGUUAAGGAAGGCUCUUUUAAAGAGGUAUUGUUGAGGGGGUUGA
rnacentral:lncRNA from 1 species